UGGUGUUGUAGAUGGCAACCUCAGCAAAAUCAAUGAGCACCUAACAAGUACCGACUAGCAAACCAAUGAUCCGCUAACAAUAGCGGAUAAUGGAGCUGACUAGCAGAGGCAUGCGUCCAGAGCUCAGCCUAGGACGAGAGCGAUCUUGCAAGGGAAGUAUGGCGGCGAAGAAGCGUCAGGAGAAAAUUGGCAAGCGGAAAUCAUGUACGAAGGUGCCACGUGGUGAGAGGAACGCCCUGCUAGAUCGUCGUAAUGAAAGCUUUGCAGGUAGGGUGAAGACCCCGACUGUCAGGUCCAUCUCCAUACCGGAAAUGAGCUCAACUGGACAACCUACCGUAGUUGAAGCACACGGUGCCUCAACCUCAUCUAGCACGCCGGAGUACACUAUCAGAAGUGAAGACGACAUGGACGCUUACCUUAGUCGUCUCAUGACUGAUAAUGUCAACCCUGACAACCUCUUUGACGAUGAGUAUUACCUGUUUGCUGGUGAAGGCUCAGAUGCUGAUGACAUGGAGCACGACGAAUUGGAAGACUCAAGUCACAAUACCUAUGUCGACCAUGAUCCACUGGACUAUGUCUACUCAAACCUCCCAGACCACACACACAUCCUAAAGCACGCCGCGAACUGCGAUCACUGCAAGGCCAAGAAGUUUGUGUCCGAGGCCCCAGGAUUCUGCUGUCGCAGUGGGCAGAUCGAGCUGAAGCAACCGGAGCCCAUCCCGGAGCUAAUGAGGCUUUGGUCUAGCAUGGAUGCGGACUCAAGGCAUUUUCGGGAGAACAUACGGUUCUUCAACGGCCACUUCUCCUUCACAACCCUCGGCGUCAGCCUCGAUGAAAGCUACACAAACAUGAAGUCUGGGGUGUACACGUUUCGGGCGCACGGCACCAUCUACCACAACGUUCAUUCCUUCGGGCCAACAUCCCGUCCAGAGCAUCUACAGUUGUACUUCUACGACGACGACCCAGGCCUAACCCAUCGCAAGGCUGCCACCGAGCAAUUAGACCAGGAUGUCGUCAGAAAGUUAGUGGACAUACUCAGGGAAAACCCGUACUCCCAGCAGUUCAGGAGUUUGGGUGCGCACAGGGACAACCUCGACGAUUACAGUAUAGACCUCAACACUGACUAGAGACUAGACCAACGGAAGUAUAAUAGACCUCUGUCAUCUGAGGUCGCUGCAAUUUGGGUGGAGGGCACUGACCUAGCGAAGAGGUUCGAUCGUAGGAUUACACUUUGCGGGAAUGACAACCAGAGGCACAGUAUACAUGUGACGGCUGGCUCGUAUGACCCGCUCUCUUACCCACUCUUCUACCCAAGGGGGGAGCUCGGUUGGCACCCGAAACUACCUAAACGUGACGUCCCUUGGCCGGUUGUGCAACAACCAAGAGGUAGACGUGAUGAUGAUGAUGAUGAGGAGGAUGCAGAGGGGAAUAGCAGGUUAUACGUCUCGGUGAGAGACUACUACUGUUACAUGCUCCAGACACGACCUGGGAUAUUCAAUCCCAUACUCUGUGGAGCACGAUUGCUCCGGCAAUGGGGGUGGACAUGUACGUCAAGAUUGAGAGUUGUAGGUUGAAAUGGUACAGGAAGAACCAGACAAAGAUCCGUGCCGACCUGUAUAAAGGAGUUGUUGAUGCAAUUACAUCCGGCGAGACCCGGGCAAGCGUUGUUGGCGUAAGGAUAGU